rnacentral:rRNA from 1 species
UUUACUGUGAAAAAAUCAAAGCGUUCAAAGCAGGCUUAAUAAAAUAAUAAUGCAAUAAAAAUAGAAUGUUACAGCAUGGAAUAAUGAUUAAAUAAAAGAUAAAGUGAUAAUUUUAUUGUUAUAUUUUUUAUGAUACAAUAAAAUAAAAUCAAUUGAUUGAAUAGGAACAGUCGGGGAUAUUCGUACUUAUAAGUCAGAGGUGAAAUUCUUGGAUUUUCUAAAAGACGAACGAUUGCGAAAGCUAUUUAUCAAGGAUGUUUUCAUUAAUCAAGAACGAAAGUUUGGGAUCGAAGAUGAUUAGAUACCAUCGUAGUCUAAACCAUAAACAAUGCCGAUUCGAGGGUGGUGUGUAGUGUAAGUGUGUGUUGAACUGUUAGUAAAAUAACACUAAAACACACAUAAUUUUAUAUCCAUACCCACCAAUCGUAUGCGAAAG